CAGCUUAAUAGUCUAAUAAGAGGAUGCGAGCUUUGGGGGCUUGAGGUCUACGGUGGGAGUUGGCUGA
rnacentral:tRNA from 1 species